rnacentral:rRNA from 1 species
AUGCAUGGAUCAGUCAAAUUUUAUGAUGGCUCUGCUGAUUCCAGGUCCCAAAUCACCUGGCAAGCACUUGUAGAAGAAUUACUUGAGCUCUGGGAGGGUGUGCGUACAUAUGAUGCUCUUAGUGGAAAAAUGUUUGAUCUUCAUGCUGUAGUUCUAUGGUGUAUUCACGAUUACCCAGCUCUGAGCACUCUUUCAGGGCGUACCACAAGAGGCUAUUUUGCAUGUAUUCAUUGUGACAAACACCCUCUUUCUUACAGCCUAAGGAAUAAAAUUGCGUAUAUUGGUCACUAUCAUUUCCUUCCAAGGGGUCAUCGUUUGCGGAGAAACAAUGAAUUUGUUGGUCUUCAUGAAAGCAAUGAUGAGCCAGGUAAAUUCUCUAAGAAAGAGUUGCAAGAAGAAUUGGAGAAGGUUAGACCUGGGAGACAACAAGAAAGUAGGAAAAGGAAGCGUUCUGACUUGGGCAGCAAGAAGGAUCAUGUGCCAAUUUGCGCCCGGAGGGUUUGUUUGUGGGAUUUGAAGUAC